GAUGAACGCUGGCGGUAUGCUUAACACAUGCAAGUCGAACGGACUCUUCGGAGUUAGUGGCGGACGGGUGAGUAACGCGUGAGAAUCUGGCUUUGGGUUCGGGACAACCACUGGAAACGGUGGCUAAUACCGGAUGUGCCGAGAGGUAAAAGAGAAAUUGCCUGAAGAUGAGCUCGCGUCUGAUUAGCUAGUUGGUGAGGUAAAGGCUCACCAAGGCAGCGAUCAGUAGCUGGUCUGAGAGGAUGACCAGCCACACUGGGACUGAGACACGGCCCAGACGCCUACGGGAGGCAGCAGUGGGGAAUUUUCCGCAAUGGGCGAAAGCCUGACGGAGCAAUACCGCGUGAGAGAAGAAGGCUCUUGGGUUGUAAACCUCUUUUCUUAGGGAAGAACAAAAUGACGGUACCUAAGGAAUCAGCAUCGGCUAACUCCGUG
rnacentral:rRNA from 1 species